rnacentral:sRNA from 1 species
UUAACACUCCUCCUAAAUGAUAACAUGGUU